UACUGGUGCGCUGAUGCGAUAAUAGGGAAUUAGGUUGAAAUCCUAAACAGUCCUGCUGCCGUAAUGAGUGAGCGUUUUUUUAAGGCUAUGCCAACCACUGGAUGUGUCCGGGAAGGUUUAAAAACUGCGAUGAACUCUGAGUCGGAAAACCUGCCUGUAUUG
rnacentral:ncRNA from 1 species